GGCUCCGGCGCAAAGAGAGGCCCAAGUGAGAUUAGCUAGUUGGUAAGGUAACGGCUUACCAAGGCGACGAUCUCUAGCUGUUCUGAGAGGAAGAUCAGCCACACUGGGACUGAGACACGGCCCAGACUCCUACGGGAGGCAGCAGUGGGGAAUAUUGCACAAUGGGGGAAACCCUGAUGCAGCCAUGCCGCGUGUGUGAAGAAGGCCUUCGGGUUGUAAAGCACUUUCAGUUGUGAGGAAAAGUUAGUAGUUAAUACCUGCUAGCCGUGACGUUAACAACAGAAGAAGCACCGGCUAACUCCGUGCCAGCAGCCGCGGUAAUACGGAGGGUGCGAGCGUUAAUCGGAAUUACUGGGCGUAAAGCGCACGCAGGCGGUUUGUUAAGCUAGAUGUGAAAGCCCCGGGCUCAACCUGGGAUGGUCAUUUAGAACUGGCAGACUAGAGUCUUGGAGAGGGGAGUGGAAUUCCAGGUGUAGCGGUGAAAUGCGUAGAUAUCUGGAGGAACAUCAGUGGCGAAGGCGACUCCCUGGCCAAAGACUGACGCUCAUGUGCGAAAGUGUGGGUAGCGAACAGGAUUAGAUACCCUGGUAGUCCACACCGUAAACGCUGUCUACUAGCUGUGUGUGCCUUUAAGGCGUGCGUAGCGAAGCUAACGCGCUAAGUAGACCGCC
rnacentral:rRNA from 1 species